UACGUAGGGGGCAAGCGUUGUCCGGAUUUAUUGGGCGUAAAGAGCGUGUAGGCGGCUUUACAGGUCCGUUGUGAAAACUCGAGGCUCAACCUCGAGACGCCGGUGGAAACCGUAAGGCUAGAGUCCGGAAGAGGCGAGUGGAACUCCUGGUGUAGCGGUGGAAUGCGCAGAUAUCAGGAAGAACACCAACGGCGAAGGCAGCUCGCUGGGACGGUACUGACGCUGAGACGCGAAAGCGUGGGGAGCAAACAGG
rnacentral:rRNA from 1 species